GAUGAACGCUGGCGGCGUGCCUAAUACAUGCAAGUCGAGCGAACAGACGAGGAGCUUGCUCCUCUGACGUUAGCGGCGGACGGGUGAGUAACACGUGGAUAACCUACCUAUAAGACUGGGAUAACUUCGGGAAACCGGAUCUAAUACCGGAUAAUAUAUUGAACCGCAUGGUUCAAUAGUGAAAGACGGUUUUGCUGUCACUUAUAGAUGGAUCCGCGCCGCAUUAGCUAGUUGGUAAGGUAACGGCUUACCAAGGCAACGAUGCGUAGCCGACCUGAGAGGAUGAUCGGCCACACUGGAACUGAGACACGGUCCAGACUCCUACGGGAGGCAGCAGUAGGGAAUCUUCCGCAAAGGGCGAAAGCUUGACGGAGCAACGCCGCGUGAGUGAUGAAGGUCUUCGGAUCGUAAAACUCUGUUAUUAGGGAAGAACAAAUGUGUAAGUAACUAUGCACGUCUUGACGGUACCUAAUCAGAAAGCCACGGCUAACUACGUG
rnacentral:rRNA from 1 species